rnacentral:lncRNA from 1 species
AUUAAUCGAAAAACAAAACGAAAACAAAACAAUCAUAUGCUAAAUCGAUAGUACGAAAGUAAAAUCGACCUUAGUGACUAUGCUUGUCAAGGGCGUCAGCGUCUAACUCAAGCGAGUGGCGUCGUAAGAGUCAAUUCAGGUUAUUUUGAGUUUGCACGCUGUCCGCUUUGGAAGUUGGCGCAAGGUUUUUCGAAUAGAUCUG